rnacentral:tRNA from 1 species
GUCCAGGGAUGGGAAUCGAAUCCACAACGUUCCGCUUACCGGGCAGAUGCCAUGUCCACUAGGCUACCCUGGA